rnacentral:sRNA from 1 species
UCUUUCUCAGCGCGCAGUGCCAUCUGC